AAAGGCUGAGACUUGAUGCAUACCCGUUGUGGGGAAUUCAGUGAUCCUAUGCUGCCGAGAAAAGCCUCUAGUGAGUUCAUACACGGCCCGUACCCCAAACCGACACAGGUGAUCAGGUAGAGAAUACCAAGGCGAUCGAGAGAACUGUGGUUAAGGAACUCGGCAAAAUGCCCCCGUAACUUCGGGAGAAGGGGGACCAUGCCCGGUGAACAUCUUCACGGUGGGAGCUGGGUGUGGUCGCAGAGACCAGAGAGAAGCGACUGUUUACUAAAAACACAGGUCCGUGCGAAGACGUAAGUCGAUGUAUACGGACUGACGCCUGCCCGGUGCUGGAAGGUUAAGAGGACCGGUUAGCCGUAAGGCGAAGCUGAGAAUUUAAGCCCCAGUAAACGGCGGUGGUAACUAUAACCAUCCUAAGGUAGCGAAAUUCCUUGUCGGGUAAGUUCCGACCUGCACGAAUGGCGUAACGACUUCUCUGCUGUCUCGACCACAGACUCGGCGAAAUUGCACUACGAGUAAAGAUACUCGUUACGCGCGGCAGGACGAAAAGACCCCGGGACCUUUACUAUAGCUUGGUAUUGGCGUUCGAUUCGGUUUGUGUAGGAUAGGUGGGAGACUGUGAAGCAUGCACGCCAGUGUGUGUGGAGUCGUUGUUGAAAUACCACUCUGAUCGUAUUGGACGUCUAACCUCGGCCCAUGAUCUGGGUUAGGGACAGUGCCUGGUGGGUAGUUUAACUGGGGCGGUUGCCUCCUAAAGAGUAACGGAGGCGCCCAAAGGUUCCCUCAGCCUGGAUGGCAAUCAGGUGUUGAGUGCAAGUGCACAAGGGAGCUUGACUGUGAGACUGACACGUCGAGCAGGGACGAAAGUCGGGACUAGUGAUCCGGCACCGGCAAGUGGAAGCGGUGUCGCUCAACGGAUAGAAGGUACCCCGGGGAUAGCAGGCUGAUCUUCCCCAAGAGUCCAUAUCGACGGGAUGGUUUGGCACCUCGAUGUCGGCUCGUCGCAUCCUGGGGCUGGAGUAGGUCCCAAGGGUUGGGCUGUUCGCCCAUUAAAGCGGCACGCGAGCUGGGUUUAGAACGUCGUGAGACAGUUCGGUCUCUAUCCGCCGCGCGCGUAAGAAACUUGAGGAAGGCUGUCCCUAGUACGAGAGGACCGGGACGGACGAACCUCUGGUGUGCCAGUUGUUCCACCAGGAGCAUGGCUGGCUAGCUACGUUCGGAAGGGAUAACCGCUGAAAGCAUCUAAGCGGGAAGCCUGUUCCAAGAUGAGGUUUCUCACCACCUUGCGUGGUUAAGGCCCCCUACAGACCAUGGGGUUGAUAGGCCGGAACUGGAAGCGCAGCAAUGCGUGGAGGUGACCGGUACUAAUAGGCCGAGGGC
rnacentral:rRNA from 1 species